ACAGGAUCUAAUUAGUGGCACUUGUCAGCUUAUCCACUGUUAGCGUAACACACCCGCUUUAAGGACACUGACUGCUAUUCAAUCUAUAACAGUAAAAAAAGUUUUUUUGUUUUUAAAUCCAAGCUAUUGUGACACAGGAUCUAAUUAGUGGCACUUGUCAGCGUAUCCACUGUUAGCGUAACACACCCGCUUUAAGGACAC